CGCGUCGCAUAUAUAAAUACGCAUAUUGAUAUCACGUUGUGAACUCUCUCACCUUCAUUCUUUUCUCCGCAUUCUGUUUCUUCACCCAGAAAAAAAUAAAAGCGAUUUUUUUUUAUCUUUCUUUUAAUUUUUCAAUUCAAAGUGAGAAAGAAACUCUGCUGCUAAAGUUUUCUGUGUUCUCUCUUAUCAUCAUCUGAGGCUUGUUCUGCAGUUCGUGCACUUCACAAUCACUCUUUGAUUUGGCUCUUACGAGGGCGAUCUGUGUGCAAUUUUGGGGCUGGAAAUCUUGCUCGCGUUUCAUGCUUUUGUGAAUUUCCCUGCGUUAUUGUUAGGAAUGAAGAGGUCAAGGGAUGAUGUUUACAUGAGUUCACAACUGAAACGGCCUAUGGUGUCUUCUAGAGGAGAACCCUCGGGGCAACCACAGAUGACGAGUGGCGGUGCUCAGAAACUAACCACAGAUGAUGCCUUGGCAUAUCUCAAGGCAGUAAAGGACAUGUUUCAAGAUAAGAGGGAAAAGUAUGAUGACUUUCUGGAAGUCAUGAAGGAUUUCAAGGCUCAAAGAAUUGAUACAUCAGGUGUCAUUGCAAGAGUGAAGGAACUGUUUAAAGGGCACAAAGAUCUAAUUUUGGGAUUUAACACCUUCUUGCCAAAGGGAUAUGAAAUUACACUUCCAUUGGAGGAUGAACAACCUCCCCAAAAGAAGCCCGUUGAAUUUGCAGAAGCCAUAAAUUUUGUGGGCAAGAUUAAGGCUCGUUUUCAUGACAAUGACCGUGUUUAUAAGUCAUUUCUAGACAUAUUAAAUAUGUACAGAAGGGAAGCCAAGUCUAUUGCUGAGGUUUACAAGGAGGUUGCUGCACUUUUCCAGGACCAUGUGGAUCUUCUUAGGGAGUUUACUCAUUUUCUUCCUGAUACUUCAGGAACAGCCUCUAAUCACUGUGGUUUGGCUCGAAAUUCUCUCCUUCCCGAUAGGAGCUCUGCUAUGCCAAUAAUUAGGCAAAUGCAUGUUGAAAAGAGAGAAAGGAACAUAGCUUCACAUGGUGAUCGUGACCUCAGUGCUGACCAUCCUGAUCCAGAACUUGACAGAUGUUUGAUUAGGGCCGAUAAGGAUCAGAGGAGGCAUGAUGAGAAGGAAAAGGGCAGUAGAGAUUAUGAUCAUGAUGGUAUAUCUCGCAAGCGGAAAUCUGGUAUUAGGGCUGAAGACUCUGGUGCUGAACCAUUGCAUGAUACUGAUGAAAAUUUUGGCAUGCACCCUAUCUCAUAUGCUUGUGAGGAUAAAAGUUCUUUGAAAAGUAUGUAUAGUCCAGUGCUUGGUUACCUUGACAAAGUGAAGGAGAAAUUAAGAAAUCCUGAGGAUUACCAGGAAUUUUUGAAGUGCCUAAAUAUCUACAGCAAGGAAAUAAUUGCCCGACAUGAGUUGCAAUCAUUGGUGGGCAAUUUACUGGGAAAACAUGCAGAUCUUAUGGAGGGAUUUGAUGAAUUUUUGGUUCAAUGUGAGAAGAACGAAGGAUUCCUUGCUGGUCUCCUGAAAAAAAGACACGGACCAAAACCAGUGAAGGUAGAGGACAGGGAUCGAGAUCGUGAUAGGGAUGAUGGGAUGAAAGAAAGGGACCGCGAAUGCCGAGAAAGGGACAAAUCCAAUGCAAUUGCUAACAAGGAUGUUUUGGUUCCUAAGACAUCUCUGUACGCCGGCAAGGAUAAGUAUGCAGCGAAACCUAUAAGUGAGCUUGAUCUUUCGAACUGUGAACAAUGCACUCCCAGUUACUGUCUUCUACCGAAAAAUUACCCAAUACCACCAGCUAGCCAGAGAACAGAACUUGGUGCAGAGGUGUUGAAUGAUCAUUGGGUUUCUGUUACUUCUGGCAGUGAGGACUAUUCCUUUAAACACAUGCGCAAAAAUCAGUAUGAGGAGAGCUUAUUUAGAUGUGAAGAUGACAGGUUUGAACUUGAUAUGUUGUUAGAGUCUGUAAAUGUGGCAACUAAGCGUGUUGAAGAGCUCUUAGAAAAGGUUAAUGCUAAUAUAAUUAAAGGAGAUAGUCCAAUUCGUAUUGAGGAGCACUUAACAGCUCUAAAUCUUAGGUGCAUUGAACGAUUAUAUGGUGAUCAUGGGCUUGAUGUAAUGGAUGUGCUAAAGAAGAAUGCAUCUUUAGCUUUGCCAGUCAUAUUAACCCGCUUGAAGCAGAAACAGGAUGAGUGGGCAAGGUGUCGUUCUGAUUUUAAUAAAGUUUGGGCUGAAAUAUAUGCAAAGAACUAUCACAAAUCACUUGAUCACCGUAGUUUCUACUUUAAGCAGCAGGAUACAAAAAGCUUGAGCACUAAAGUCUUACUUGCAGAAAUAAAAGAAAUUAGUGAGAAGAAAAGAAAAGAAGAUGAUGUUCUUCUUGCAAUUGCUGCUGGAAACAGACAGCCUAUUAUUCCUCACUUGGAAUUUGUGUAUCCUGAUUCGGAGAUUCAUGAAGAUUUGUAUCAACUCAUAAAAUAUUCUUGUGGAGAAAUGUGUACAACUGAACAGUUGGAUAAAGCUAUGAAGAUUUGGACAACAUUUUUAGAACCCAUGCUUGGUGUUCCUUCUCGACCCCAAGGUCCAGAAGAUACAGAAGAUGUUGUCAAGGCUAAUAAGAAUAAUUCUGCCAAAACUGGCACUGCAAUUGAUGAUGGGGAUAGUAGUCCUGCAACAAAUCCUAAGAAUUUAAACACUAAUAGAAAUGGGGAUGAGAACUUUCCAUCAGAACAAUCAAAUUCCUGCAAACAAUGGCAAACAAGUGGGGAUAAUAAGGUUAAAGAAGAUAAUCAUCUUGAUUUAGAACGCUCGGCACAUAAGAAUGAAACCUUGGGAAGUAGUACACAGCAUGGUAAAGUGCAUAUAAAUGCAUCCACGCCUGAUGAAGUAUCAAGAGCCAAUAAGCAAGAUCAUUCCAUUGAACGGUUGGUGAAUGCUAAUGUCUCAUUGACCUUGGGUAUGGAGCUAAUUAGUAGAAGAACAAAUGUGGAUAAUGCAUCAGGACUUACUGCUACUCCAUCAAGACCUGGUAAUAUUUCUGGUGAGGGAGGACUUGGUUUACCUUCAUUAGAGGGUGCUGAUUCUACAAGACCAGUUACAUCCACAAAUGGGGCCAUCAAUGAGGACACUAAAGUUCACAGAUAUCACGAAGAAGUUGGACACUUCAAAAGUGAAAGAGAAGAGGGUGAGUUAUCACCUAAUGGUGGAGACUUUGAAGAGGAUAACUGUGAAGUUUAUGGACAUGCUGGUUUGGAGGCAGUUCAUAAAGGAAAAGAUGGUACCAUUUGUCGACAAUACCAAAAUAGACAUGGGGAAGAAGUUCGUGGUGAAGCUGGAGGAGAAAAUGAUGCUGAUGACGAAGGCGAAGAAAGUCCCCAUAGAUCAAUGGAGGACAGUGAAAAUGCUUCUGAAAAUGGUGAUGUUUCUGGUACUGAGUCUGCCGAUGGUGAGGAGUGUUCUCGAGAACAUGAGGAGAAUGGAGAUCAUGAACAUGAUAACAAGGCUGAGAGUGAAGGUGAAGCAGAAGGAAUGACUGAUGCCAAUGAUGUUGAAGGAGAUGGUGCCUCAUUGCCAUAUUCAGAGCGCUUUCUUGUCACUGUAAAGCCUCUGGCAAAACAUGUUCCUCCAGUGUUGCAUGACAAACAAAGGACUGUUCGAGUCUUUUAUGGAAAUGAUUCCUUUUAUGUGCUGUUUAGACUUCAUCAGACAUUGUAUGAGAGGAUCCAAUCUGCAAAGGUUAAUUCAUCAUCUGCUGAAAAGAAGUGGAGGGCUUCAAAUGAUACAGGCUCUAGUGAUCAAUAUGGCAGGUUUAUGGAUGCCCUUUACAAUUUACUGGAUGGUUCUUCUGAUAGUACAAAAUUUGAGGAUGAGUGUCGAGCUAUUAUUGGAACUCAGUCAUAUGUCUUAUUCACAUUAGACAAGCUGAUAUAUAAACUUGUUAAACAGCUUCAGGUUGUUGCCACCGAAGAGAUGGAUAACAAGCUGCUUCAACUAUAUGCAUAUGAAAAUUCAAGAAAACCUGGAAGAUUCGUUGAUUUAGUUUAUCACGAAAAUGCCCGUGUUCUUCUCCAUGAUGAGAACAUAUAUCGUAUUGAAUGUUCUCCUGCACCUACCCAAUUGUCGUCUAUUCAACUGAUGGACUAUGGAUAUGAUAAGCCUGAAAUGACUGCAGUGUCAAUGGACCCUAAUUUUUCAGCCUAUCUGCACAAUGACUUCCUAUCUGUUGUCCCUGACAAAAAGGAGAAGUCGGGAAUUUACCUGAAGAGGAAUAAGCGCAAGUAUGCCAUUAGUGAUGAAUAUUCAAGCCAGACCUUGGAUGGACUACAAAUUAUCAAUGGUCUAGAGUGUAAGAUAGCUUGCAGUUCAUCUAAGGUUUCAUACGUUUUAGAUACUGAAGAUUUUUUACAUCAAACAAGAAGAAAAAGGAGAACCUUGUAUCAGAGCAGUUCAUGCCAUGGACAGGAAAAGUCCCCAAUCAUUUGUUCAAGCAGAGCACAACGGUCCUGCAAAUUAUUUUCAAUUUGAAGAUGGUAUUCAUUUUGAGCCCGAGAUGUGUUUUUGGUCAUGCAUCAAUGGCAGGCAGAGGUGCCAGAUGGAAAUGGCAUCCCGUCCAAGAAGUUGAGCAAAGGAUGUUUUAAUGAAAUUCAUUUUUCUUGCAUUCCUCGCAUCUUCUAUACCAACAACCAAAUAAGGCAACACAGAAGGGAGAUGGGGCAGAGAUUGUAGUAUAAUACUUUGACAUGGUGACUGAUGAGUUUCAAUCAUGUAAAUAGAGGACUACAGGGAGAUUUUUGCUUGGAUUUUUCGGCACUCGACACCACCAGUGAAGUUUUCUUUGACUCCCGAAAUGUUGCCUGCGACAACUCCAAAAUCUUCCACGACUUCGACGGCCUCAAGUUUUGACUCUCCUACAAGGACUUGUUUCGCGGCAGCAUUUCCGAAGAAGACGAUGAUGAAGAAGAAAAAGAAGCCUAAUAUGAAUGAAUGCAGUCGUGGUCUUAAUGUUUGCACUUUUUUUACCGUUUGGUUAUGAAUAUUUGAUUACUGCAUGAUGUAUUAGUGUAUCAAAUUUUGUUUUUGUUUGAGUUUUUGCAGUUUA